AACCGAUUUAAUGUGUCUGGUUUUAUGUUGAGGUCUUUGAUGCACUUGGACUUUAGUUUUGUACAGGGUGAUAAGUAUGGAUCUAUUUGCAUUUUUCUACAUGUAGAUAUCCAGCACCACUUGUUGAAGAUUCUAAUCAAACUGGAAAGGAAGAAGUCAAAGUAUCACUAUUUGCAGAUGACAUGAUAGUAUACAAGAGUGACCCCAAAAAUUCUACCAGGGAACUCUUACACCUUCAGCAAAGUGGCCAGAUACAAAAUUAACUAAAAAAAAAAAAUCAGUAGCCCUCCUGUAUACAAAAGACGAAAGGGCUGAGAAAAAAAUUAAGGAAACAACACCCUUUACAAUAGCCACAAAUGACAUAAAGUACCUUGGUAUAACUCUAACUAAGCAAGUCAAAGACUUGUAUGAAAAACAUUUCAUGUCUCUGAAGAAAGAAUUAGAAGAAGAUAUCAGAAGAUGGAAAGAUCUCUCAUGCUCAAGGCUUGGCAGGAUUAACAUAGUAAAAAUGGCCAUCUUACCAAAAGCAAUCUGCAGAUUCAAUGCAAUUCCCAUCAAAUUACCAACACAAUUCUUUACAGACAUUGAAAGAAAAAUUCUCAACUUCAUAUGGAAUAACAAGAAACCCAGAAUAGCUAAAACAAUCCUCUACAAUAAAAGAUCUUCUGGAGGUAUCUCCAUCCCUGAUCUUAAGCUGUACUAUAGAGCAACAGUAAUAAAAACUGCAAUGUAGUGGCAUAGAAACAGAUUGGUGGAUCAAUGGAACCGAACAGAGGACCCAGAAAUAAACCCACACACUUAUGGACACCUGAUUUUUGACAAAGAUGUCAAAAUCAUUGAUUCUUUGAAUUGUUUUAUUUGUUUCUAAUUUUUUGAUUUAAGCACGAGUUAUUAUUUCGAGCUGUCUACUCCUCUUGGGUGUGUCUGCUUCUCCCCUCGCCACCCAGGGCUUUCAGUUACGACCACAGCAUGAAGAGAAGAACUGAACAUGUUGACUCUUAGAUCAUUUACCUUCUUAUCCUGUGUGGUUUGGCUAGUUUUAUGGAGCAACAGGAAGCAGAAUUGAGAGUGAAUCUGUAAAAGGAGAUUCAUAAAACACGGAGCUAAUCCUAAAACAAGAAUUUUCGUCAAGAUAAUCCAAGGAAACCAUGGGAGCUGGUGUUAAGCAGGGAAAAAGAGCUCUCUGAGCCUUGAGAGGAAGGGUUUGAAGUAUACAUUCCACUUAGAACUGAGUCUUCACAUUGCUCAGCUAUGGGUCUCUGCGUUAAUUACUGUCUGCUACAAGAAGAAUCUUCUGUGGUGAAGAGUGAAUAAAGCUGUGACCUUUAGUCACAAACCAACAUUCUUCUUCUGUCCUAUGGGAGAUGGGAGCAGCUGCUGGGUAGAUGUUGCCAUCCAGUAAAUGCAGGAUAAAGGGCAAUUAGUAAGAACUGUUCUUCGCAAGGAUCCAGGGCUGGUCAAAGCCCCCUGAAACCAGCCUGAGAGUUGUUAAAGGCUGGACCUUCAGGAGGAGGAGCAACAGAACAGAUAAACAGAAGUAACAUACAUACAAGCAUCUGAGAAAAGACAGCAAGCAGCAGUACUUGCCAUCUUGUCUUCCUCCCUCAUUUUGCUAAGUUUGGAGAGACUGGAGAGCAAAGAGACACAGGAACCCACUCAAACCUGAUCUCCACUGCUGGGAAGGAAACUCGACAGCAUCCUUGCUGCUCAUUGCUCCACUGUACCCAUUCUCACUGAGACACACAAAGAUGGUUUCUAACAUUAUACACCCCAAUGGUCGAAAGCCCUUUGCUUGGAGGCCAGCCAUCUGGAAUUCGUGUUUGACUAACUUCUAGGAUGUUUCAAGAUGAUCACACUGUUCCUUUGGAAGAAUAGCCCUGCUUUGCAGUUAUUGUUGAGAUAAUUAGCUGGCUACUACACUAUUCCAAAAAUAACUAAUUUGUGGUCUGGUUCUCUGAGAAAUUCAAUCCAUAGGUUGUAUCUUUUGUAAUAAUUACAAAUGGGCAUUAUCACUUUUGGAAAAUAAAAGAACAUCUAACCAUACUUUUAAAUUCACAUUAUAUAUAAUUUCACAUAUAAAUAUAUUUUCCUCUUUAAAGAGGUUUAAAAGUCAUAUGACUUAUGCCCAGGCACUAGCUUAGCACUUAAUAAAAUCAUUAGGAUGUGCAAAAGGUCAGCACCACAGCAAUAAAGAUUUUCAAAGUGAUGAAAGGCCUUUUCAUGUCUGAGGGUCUGUCUCUUUCAGAAGAACUACACUUGUUGGACAGUUGAUGCUAUCACCCCUCUGUUUGAGAAAUUGUUCACACAACCCCAGUGCUGGAUAGACUCUUCCAUCAAAAGUACUUUAGCCUUCUUAUGCACAUCUAUGUCCAGAGCAUCUGUUACCUCCACACGCACAAGAAAUGGCUCUGGAAUUGUCAUUUUCUUACAAACAUUUGACUCUCAAAUACAGGCACAUGCAUAAAAACAAGGCAAAAAAUACAGCCAGCUCACAUGGCAGUCAUUACUGUAUUCUGAAAAAAGUUGGGAUGACUUACAACCACAUGACUCUAGAAGGUGUAACAUGAUCUAACUCAUUCUCAGUGCACUCCAAAACACAGUAAUGGUGAUUCUAAGCAAUAAGACAGGAGAAAGGCUCAAAAUACAAGACAAAAUCUCAGACUGUAAGUCCCUAACUGGUGACUCUUACCAAUGAAACUGACAACAUAGCUUCCAUUGUUGCCAAAAAGUGGUGUGGAAAUUCCAUGUGUGAUUCAUCCAGGUGGAAACCGCACCUCUGCCCAUGUAUGGGCAGAAUAGGAAAACUGAGAGGAAGUAUUUCAGAGACCUUGGAAAUUAGUCAUUCCAGAAGCUGAAAUAUUUGUAUCUUUAUUUAUUUAUUUUUAAUAUUCCAGGCCAAACCAUGUUGAGCAGUCUUUCCUUUGGAAAAAAAAAAAAAGAAAAGAAAAGAAAAACAUUUUGUACAAUAGUUUUACAGACACUUCACUAUCUUCUCAAUGUUUAUGUGAUCACAAUCUGUUCAGCAGAAAGAUAAAACAUGAGAAAGAGAACAAAAACCUCUUUUGUUUUUGUUUUUAAUUGUUUUGGGGUUUUUUGUUUUUAAUUUUUAAUUUUAUUUUUUCUUCACAUUUUAUUCAGAAUAUAUCCCCAUUGAAGCCCCCUCCCUCAGUUCCUCCCAGUCUCACACUCCCCUUUUCUUCCCUCUAUCCCCUUC